rnacentral:rRNA from 1 species
AUUGAACGCUGGCGGCAGGCCUAACACAUGCAAGUCGAGCGGAUGAAGAGAGCUUGCUCUCUGAUUUAGCGGCGGACGGGCGAGUAAUGCCUAGGAAUCUGCCUGGUAGUGGGGGAUAACGUUCCGAAAGGAACGCUAAUACCGCAUACGUCCUACGGGAGAAAGCAGGGGACCUUCGGGCCUUGCGCUAUCAGAUGAGCCUAGGUCGGAUUAGCUAGUUGGGGAGGUAAUGGCUCACCAAGGCUACGGUCCGUAACUGGUCUGAGAGGAUGAUCAGUCACACUGGAAAUGAGACAAGGUCCAGACUCCUACGGGAGGCAGCAGUGGGGAAUAUUGGACAAUGGGCGAAAGCCUGAUCCAGCCAUGCCGCGUGUGUGAAGAAGGUCUUCGGAUUGUAAAGCACUUUAAGUUGGGAGGAAGGGCAGUAAGUUAAUACCUUGCUGUUUUGACGUUACCGACAGAGUAAGCACCGGCUAACUUCGUGCCAGCCGCCGCAGUAACAC